rnacentral:rRNA from 1 species
GCUUAACCCAUAGCCCCACCACCCCCACAUAAUCUCAAACACAAACAAAUUAACUAAAACAUUUUAACAACCAAGUAAAGGCGAUUAAAAAGUUUAUAGGAGCUUCAACAACAGUACCGCAAGGGAAAAGUGAAAUAAAAAUUAAAUAAUUAAAGCACCAUAAAGUAGAGAAUCCCCUCGUACCUUUUGCAUCAUGGUCUAACUAGUAAAAUCAAGCAAAAUGAAACUUAAGUUUGACCCCCCGAAACUAAGCGAGCUACUUCAAAACAGCCUUGUGGGCUAACCCAUCUCUGUUGCAAAAGAGUGGGAUGAUUUUCAAGUAGAGGUGAUACACCUACCGAGCCUAGAGAUAGCUGGUUAUUCAGGAAAAGGAUCCAGUCCAAUUUUAAAACCCCCCCCCCACACCACUAAAUAUACUAAUGGCUUUAAAAUUUAUUCAAAUAAGGUACAGCCUAUUUGAAAUAGGAUACAGCCUACAUAGCAGGGUAAUGGUCCGCCUGUGUGGCUAAGUAGGCCUAAAAGCAGCCACCUUAUAAAAAGCGUCAUAGCUUUAUCACACGCAAUCACUAAUUACACCAAAACCCAAAACCCUUCUCUACUACUGAAUGACUCCAUAUACAUAUGGAAGACCUAAUGUUAGAACUAGUAAUAAGAAUUUAUUCUCUACAAAGCAUGCUUAAGCCGAAAUGAACCACUCACCGGCACUUACCGCCAAUGAAUAGACAGUAGUAACCUCACAAGAAAACCCUACUAAUUUAAGUGUUAAUGAUACACCAAGGCUUUUUUAGAAAGAUUAAAAGAGGGGGAAGGAACUCGGCAAAAAAUAACUUCGCCUGUUUACCAAAAACAUCGCCUCCUGCAACUAAUAGAAGGUCCAGCCUGCCCAGUGACAAACUUAAACGGCCGCGGUAUUUUAACCGUGCAAAGGUAGCGCAAUCACUUGUUCUCUAAUUAAGGACUAGUAUGAAUGGCAUAACGAGAGUUAUACUGUCUCCCCCCUUUAAUCAAUGAAACUAAUCUCCCCGUGAAAAAGCGAGGAUUUUUCCAUAAGACGAGAAGACCCCAUGGAGCUUCAAACCAACACCACCUACAUCCACUUAUACCACCCAAACUAUGUAUGCUUGCUACGCUGGUUUUAGGUUGGGGCGACCACGGAGCAAAAUAAAACCUCCACGAUGAAAGGACAACCCCCUAAUCAAAGAGCCACAACUCAAAGAAUCAAGACAUUGACUUUAAUUGACCCAAAUUUUGAUCAACGAACCAAGUUACCCUGGGGAUAACAGCGCAAUCCACUUCAAGAGCCCCUAUCGACAAGUGGGUUUACGACCUCGAUGUUGGAUCAGGGUAUCCCAGUGGCGCAACCGCUACUAAAGGUUCGUUUGUUCAACGAUUAAAAUCCU